UACGUAGGGGGCUAGCGCUGUCCGGAAUCAUUGGGCGUAAAGCGCGUGUAGGCGGUCCGAUAAGUUCGCUGUGAAAGUCGGGGGCUCAACCCUCGGAUGCCGGUGAAUACUGUCGGGCUUGAGUACGGAAGAGGCGAGUGGAAUUCCUGGUGUAGCGGUGAAAUGCGCAGAUAUCAGGAGGAACACCAAUUGCGAAGGCAGCUCGCUGGGACGUUACUGACGCUGAGACGCGAAAGCGUGGGGAGCAAACAGG
rnacentral:rRNA from 1 species